AGCGCCGCAAUAAGCUCCGUUUCUCUAGCGGGGUUCGCGCGCGCUUAGCACUCUCGGGGGCUCAAAGGAGGUAGGCGACAGCUGCUGCCCACUCUCGUCCCCUCCAGGCCGCAGCUCUCUGGCUCACUGCCGCCCCAAUCCCCCUGCCCACAUCCUCGGUUUUUUUUUUUUUCUUUCUCCCAAACCCCAAACAGGAAAUAGCUUGAGUCACAAUAAUACACAGGAGCAGCGGCCGAGGCCACUCGCCCCCGCCCAUUCCCGGGGCCGCCUCCAGCACUCCAGCUCCGUGAGGCGCCGCCGGCGACGCGCUCCAGGAGCGCGGGGGACACCCACCCAGCAACCCGCGCCGGGUCAGAGGCACCCAAGCGCCCGCCAGAGCCGUCCUCGCCCUGCGCCCGACUCCACCGACUGCGGCCGCCACCGGCCUCCAGCCCGACGUUUGAACCUUCACCUCACCAGACCCGGAGGAACACACCACGGCCCCCUGGAUCGCAGCCCUUCCAUCCCAGGGUGGUAAGCUCCCUGAGGAAGACUUGGACCUGUGGCUAGCACACUGGCCUGGUGCAAAGUACCACAUUACUGUCAUCUCCCUGUGAGUGGGAUUGGCAGCCCAGCUGUCCCUCCUGGUGCAAGUGCUCCCCGAAACCCAGGCUCGUGCCGGCAGACAGCCUGCUUUACCAGGUACUUGACUUUGUCUCUGGUUACUGGCUUUUCUCCACUAAAAGUUUGAUGUAAACUUCGUCACAUCCUGGAAGUCAAGACCACCAUUUUCUAUGUUGCUGAUAGAAAUUGUUUAAUAUCAAAGAAAAUUUAAUUGCAAUGGCCUAUUUCCAAAA
rnacentral:lncRNA from 1 species